GAACCCGGGGUAGAGAGACCCUUAGCGGAUGAUGUUGAAAGUGUAGCGGCUGCUCCUGCGCAAGGGACACCGCCUGUUGAACCUCAUUCAUCUACAAAUAAUCAAGAUGAAGGGGCGAAACAAGCCUUCUUCACCAUGAUGAAUGAGUGGGUCGCGCAAUAUGCCUGAACCUAUCCGGCUGUCCAACCAUUCCCGAAUAUAAAUAAUCCAC
rnacentral:lncRNA from 1 species